rnacentral:rRNA from 1 species
GACGAAGGUGGCAAGCGUUGUUCGGAUUCACUGGGCCUAAAGGGCGCGUAGGCGGUUCCAUAAGCGGCAUGUGAAAGCCCCCGGCUCAACCGGGGAAGUGCGUGCCGGACUGUGGUUCUAGAGGGUGGUAGGGGGGACUGGAACUCUCGGUGGAGCGGUGAAAUGCAUAGAUAUCGAGAGGAACACCGGUGGCGAAGGCGAGUCCCUGGUCCACUUCUGACGCUGAGGCGCGAAAGCGUGGGUAGCAAACAGG